UCGCCCAAUUCCUUUCUUUCGUGUCUUACUUUGGGCAGGGUAUUGCAACUCAGUUGUUGUUAUUUUGGUAUUGCGUCCACCAGCUGAGCGGUGAGGCGAAGUUGACGCAGCUGUUAAUGUUGGUGCUACUGUGAGGAGGUAGUGGGCUAGCCAUGCCUCCAUGGUCUGGCGUCCGUGUUUCAAAUUUGUUCCAGUAGCAAGUGGUGUUUAGAUUUAUUUAUUGGAGCUAUAACAUCAGUGCAUAGUAUUUAUCUGCUGCUGUGAUUUUGUUUAGUCUGCUAGCUAGAUUAGAUCUGUUUGGUGUUUUCUUAGUUCUAUUUUAUUAAAAUGCGCAACCACAAUUGGCAUACAUUUUGUGCAGCUGAGCUGACCAAUGUUUUAUAUUCAAUAUUCAUAAGUGGGAACUAUUAGACAUUUAUGAACAACCUUGGUUGGUGUAUUCUAUUUCGUGGUUUAUCUGCAAUUUCGUAAUUAUUCAUGACUGCCAUAACCCCUAACCUUUCUUUUCUUUGUAACUGUAGCAAUAGGUUGCUAUAGCGCUUUGAUUGAUCCUAAUUGAAUGAUAGGUGGCAGGUCCUUUGUUCCUCUCUUGGUUUUAGGCCACUCCUUGCUCUUAUAUUAACUUCAUUUUUGUGUGAGAUUUGGACGAUUGAGAUCUAGGAAUGGUUUUAGGCGAUGCACCUGCUUGCGGAUCACGGAGAGGGGUGUUAGUUCUCUGAUCAUUAUCCCCUUUGAACUGAAUCAUAGAGAGAUUGAAGCAUUGCAUGCUCAGGGAUGCCUUCAUUGUUCCAGUACUUGUUGAGACAAUUGAUGAAUCGACAGCUGCAUAUUCAGUCCUACAUCUUUGAUGACAAAUUAUCUUUUGAGACAUGUUGUGUAUAUUGUGCCUUUGAAGCCCAGGGUGUUGUUUCUUUAUCCGGAUAAUGGUGUUUCAAACCUUAGUUCCAACAAUGUAUCUUCAGUCUUCUUUUAGCAAAAGAAUGAUGUUGAAAAAUAUAUACCGGAGGAGCUUGAAAAGGGUAUCACAUACUUCUCACUUUUGAUGUGUGUUAGCUAGACAUCUUGUGAUUCAGCACUUCACCUGUACUACAGGAUUGGUGAGAAUCUUUCAUCAGUUAAUUUUUUUUAACCUUGUUGUUAACUUGAUUUACUUUGAUCACAUAUAAAUCCAAUGCUUGAAAAUGAUUAUCCUAUAUUCAGUGGCAGAGCCAGGUCAUUUGUGGAGCCUGGGCGAGUUUUGAAAGAUGCGGACUUGGUUAGAAAUGCCCACAAGAACUCACGAUGAAACACUCGAUCUAUAAUAAAACUAAUGGAGUGUUUGACGACGGAACCCGAGUAGUGUAGUUUGGGUCAGCUGGGGAAAGAGAAAAAAUGUGGUCUAAUGGUGUUAUCUUUAGAUAACGGGUGGAAAUGUCCUGUAGGGCGGAUUUAAUGGGUGUAUGAUGGUGGGUAGCUAGCCAGGUGUGUAGCUGGUUAUUUCCUAUAAAACUAUGUAGGCAGUGGUACUGGAUACGGUGAGGUCAGGAUCGGAGGCGGCCAUGUGGUUGCUGCGACGGUCAUGGCUAGAAUUUUUCUGGUAUGAAUACAUGGCUUCUUUUAAUAGUAAACAUGCACGUCUAUGUUUUGUUUGACACAAAUGAGCACGUCGGCCACACAGACUUUAAAAUCGACAAGAUGGAUCACGGAACAAAAUCGAACACCCCUAAAUGCAUUCGUAGCUACCACCAUAGGUACUAAAUCCGCGUUAAUAGUUGUAUAUGCUGUGCUUUUGAAAUCACUGAAUUCUCAUCAUGUUGUUACAUUUCGAGAGGUGCAUAAAUCAAAUCUUUAAUCAGAUGACUGAAAACGAUUAUCCUAUAUAGUUGUAUAUGAUGUGUGCUUCUAAAAUUAUUGAAUACUCAUCAUGUAGUUACUUCUCAAGAGGCGCAUAAAUUGUAAUCCCUAUUAUUUUCCAAGUGUGAAUGAAUUGAUUAAGUGCAUGCCACUUCAAAGCCAAACUGAGCCAAUAGUAGGUUGACUCAUUAGGAGAGUUGCAACAUUUGAGCUUCGCUGAUAUCCUCCCUUUAUGCAAUGCCUAUUGUAAUUAACAUUGUUGUAUAUACACCGUUAUUUCCUUGAUAUCUCUUAUCUGGUUUCAUUGGUUUAUUUAACACUGCAAGCUUAAUUCAUUUACAAUAUCUUUUCUAAAACUCAAUG